GAUGAACGCUGGCGGCGUGCCUAAUACAUGCAAGUCGAGCGAACAGACGAGGAGCUUGCUCCUCUGACGUUAGCGGCGGACGGGUGAGUAACACGUGGAUAACCUACCUAUAAGACUGGGAUAACUUCGGGAAACCGGAGCUAAUACCGGAUAAUAUAUUGAACCGCAUGGUUCAAUAGUGAAAGACGGUUUUGCUGUCUCUUAUAGAUGGAUCCGCGCCGCAUUAGCUAGUUGGUAAGGUAACGGCUUACCAAGGCGACGAUGCGUAGCCGACCUGAGAGGGUGAUCGGCCACACUGGAACUGAGACACGGUCCAGACUCCUACGGGAGGCAGCAGUAGGGAAUCUUCCGCAAUGGGCGAAAGCUUGACGGAGCAACGCCGCGUGAGUGAUGAAGGUCUUCGGAUCGUAAAACUCUGUUAUUAGGGAAGAACAAAUGUGUAAGUAACUAUGCACGUCUUGACGGUACCUAAUCAGAAAGCCACGGCUAACUACGUG
rnacentral:rRNA from 1 species